UACGUAGGGUGCGAGCGUUAAUCGGAAUUACUGGGCGUAAAGAGCGCGUAGGCGGCGCGGUACGACCGCUGUGAAAGCCCCCAGCUCAACUGGGGAGGGUCAGCGGUAACGGCCGUGCUUUGAGUGCAGGAGAGGGAAGUGGAACUCCGGGAGUAGCGGUGAAAUGCGUAGAGACCCGGAGGAACACCAGUGGCGAAGGCGGCUUCCUGGUCUGCGACUGACGCUGUGGCGCGAAAGCUAGGGGAGCAAACGGG
rnacentral:rRNA from 1 species